UAAUCCAUCACUCUUGAAUUGUUAACUCAGUUCAUGUCGGUGGAUUUGGGUGCUGCCGUUGUUGGCUCGCCUUGAAAUGCAUUAGCAUUGGCUCUCGUAUGAGAUUUAUCGCGGUGUGAUAGUUCUUUGCAUCGUUGAUCUUGUGCGUGCUGAAGCUUACAGUCGUCCUUUGCGGGACAAUUAUUCGAA
rnacentral:misc_RNA from 1 species